rnacentral:misc_RNA from 1 species
UCACGCCUUGCGGCGGCAGUCCCGGCAGAGUCCUCGGCAUUAUCCGUUAGCAACUGCCGGCGGGGGUUGCGCUCGUUAUGGCACUUAAGCCGACACCUCACGGCACGAGCUGACGACAACCAUGCAGCACCUCGGAAGCGGCCCGUAGGCUGAACCGUCUCUGGUCCAUUCCACUCCCGUUUGAGCCCGGGUAAGGUUCCUCGCGUAUCAUCGAAUUAAACCACAUGUUCCUCCGCUUGUGCGGGCCCCCGUCAAUUCCUUUGAGUUUCACCGUUGCCGGCGUACUCCCCAGGUGGAAUGCUUAUCGCUUUCGCUUCGCCGCCCAGGUCUCAUUCGUCCCGGACAACCAGCAUUCAUCGUUUACUGCGUGGACUAC